GAUGAACGCUAGCGGCAGGCUUAAUACAUGCAAGUCGAGGGGCAGCAUGAUUGUAGCAAUACAAUUGAUGGCGACCGGCAAACGGGUGCGGAACACGUACACAACCUUCCAACAAGUGGGGGAUAGCCCAGAGAAAUUUGGAUUAAUACCCCGUAACAUAGCGAUGUGGCAUCACAUUGCUAUUAUAGAUUUUUCGCUUGUUGAUGGGUGUGCGGCUGAUUAGAUAGUUGGCGGGGUAACGGCCCACCAAGUCUACGAUCAGUAGCUGAUGUGAGAGCAUGAUCAGCCACACGGGCACUGAGACACAGGCCCGACUCCUACGGGAGGCAGCAGUAAGGAAUAUUGGACAAUGGACGCAAGUCUGAUCCAGCCAUGCCGCGUGAAGGAUUAAGGUCCUCUGGAUUGUAAACUUCUUUUAUAUGGGACGAAAAAAGGUCUUUCUAGACCCCUUGACGGUACCAUAUGAAUAAGCACCGGCUAACUCCGUGCCAGCCGCCGCGGUAACAC
rnacentral:rRNA from 1 species